AGUGAACGCUGGCGGUAGGCCUAACACAUGCAAGUCGAACGGCAGCACAGUAAGAGCUUGCUCUUACGGGUGGCGAGUGGCGGACGGGUGAGGAAUACAUCGGAAUCUACUUUUUCGUGGGGGAUAACGUAGGGAAACUUACGCUAAUACCGCAUACGACCUACGGGUGAAAGCAGGGGAUCUUCGGACCUUGCGCGAUUGAAUGAGCCGAUGUCGGAUUAGCUAGUUGGCGGGGUAAAGGCCCACCAAGGCGACGAUCCGUAGCUGGUCUGAGAGGUUGAUCAGCCACACUGGAACUAGACACGGUCCAGACUCCUACGGGAGGCAGCAGUGGGGAAUAUUGGACAAUGGGCGCAAGCCUGAUCCAGCCAUACCGCGUGGGUGAAGAAGGCCUUCGGGUUGUAAAGCCCUUUUGUUGGGAAAGAAAAGCAGCAGGUUAAUACCCCGCUGUUCUGACGGUACCCAAAGAAUAAGCACCGGCUAACUUCGUG
rnacentral:rRNA from 1 species